rnacentral:rRNA from 1 species
UGGGGAAUCUUCCGCAAUGGACGAAAGUCUGACGGAGCAACGCCGCGUGAGUGAUGACGGCCUUCGGGUUGUAAAGCUCUGUUAAUUGGGACGCAUGGUUCUGGUUCGAAUAGUCCGAGGAUUUGACGGUACCGGAAUAGAAAGCCACGGCUACCUACGUUCCAGCAGCCGCGGUAAUACGUAGGUGGCAAGCGUUGUCCGGAAUUAUUGGGGGUAAAGCGCGCGCAGGCGGAUUGGUCAGUCUGUCUUAAAAGUUCGAGGCUUAACCCCGAUCUGGGAUGGAAACUGCCAAUCUAGAGUAUCGGAGAGGAAAGUGGAAUUCCUAGUGUAGCGGUGAAAUGCGUAGAUAUUAGGAAGAACACCAGUGGCGAAGGAGACUUUCUGGACGAAAACUGACGCUGAGGCGCGAUAGCCAGAGGGGCGAACGGG